CCUACGGGGGGCAGCAGUGAGGAAUAUUGGUCAAUGGACGAGAGUCUGAACCAGCCAAGUAGCGUGAGGGAUGACUGCCCUAUGGGUUGUAAACUUCUUUUAUCAAGGAAUAAAACGAGGCACGUGUCCCUUUUUGCAUGUACUUUAUGAAUAAGGAUCGGCUAACUCCGUGCCAGCAGCCGCGGUAAUACGGAGGAUCCGAGCGUUAUCCGGAUUUAUUGGGUGUAAAGGGAGCGUAGGUGGGUUGUUAAGUCAGUUGUGAAAGUUUGCGGCUCAACCGUAAAAUUGCAAUUGAUACUGGCAGUCUUGAGUACGGUAGAGGUAGGCGGAAUGCGUGGUGUAGCGGUGAAAUGCAGAGCUAUCGCGAAGAACCCCGAUUGCGAAGGCAGCUUACUAAACUGUGACUGACAUUGAUGCUCGAAAGUGUGGGUAUCAAACAGGAUUAGAUACCCGGGUAGUC
rnacentral:rRNA from 1 species